rnacentral:tRNA from 1 species
GGCAAAAUACUUUAAGAUAAAAGGAUUGAUUUGCAUUCAAUAAAUGAAACUUCAUGUUUCUUUUGCCA